rnacentral:rRNA from 1 species
GACGUAGGAGGCGAGCGUUGUCCGGAUUCAUUGGGCGUAAAGAGCGCGCAGGCGGUUUGGUAAGUCGGAUGUGAAAUCCCGGAGCUCAACUCCGGACCUGCAUCCGAUACUGCCCGACUAGAGGUAGGUAGGGGAGAUCGGAAUUCCUGGUGUAGCGGUGAAAUGCGCAGAUAUCAGGAGGAACACCGGUGGCGAAGGCGGAUCUCUGGGCCGAUACUGACGCUGAGGAGCGAAAGCGUGGGGAGCAAACAGG